UACAGAGGGUGCGAACGUUAAUCGGAAUUACUGGGCGUAAAGCGCACGUAGGUGGCGACGUAAGUCGGGUGUGAAAGCCCCGGGCUCAACCUGGGAAUUGCAUUCGAGACUGCAUUGCUGGAGUACGGAAGAGGAGGGCGGAAUUCCCGGUGUAGCGGUGAAAUGCGUAGAUAUCGGGAGGAACAUCAGUGGCGAAGGCGGCCCUCUGGCUCAGUACUGACACUCAAGUGCGAAAGCGUGGGGAGCAAACAGG
rnacentral:rRNA from 1 species